UACUCCGGUGUCUACUGAUCUGGAAUCUGUCUCUGUUGAUUACUGGCUCAGUUCAGCAGGAACAGGAGU
rnacentral:pre_miRNA from 1 species